UUUGAAGGUAUCAGCGGCGUUCAACUGACGACUGGUCCCCAUUACCGCGCGCGAUCGGUCGUAGGUGCAGUAAAUGACAUCCGAAUUGUUCAUGGAGUUUAUCAAAAAUUUAAUAUUCCAAACGAUUGUUAGACAAUGUUACCUCGCAAACAUCGUAUCUUACAUUCUUUGUAACAGAGAAAAAAAGUAAAAAUUAUUUAUUUAAAAAAAAAAUUAGAUUAAAAUGGAAAUGAAAUAAUAUUAUUUCUCGUGGAAUUCUUUAAAAUGAUCAAUACAUAAUGGUACAUCACAAAUAUGGCAUUUAAAGACCGUUCCUCUUCGAGUACGUUUAGAUAAGCAUGCGACGCAUCGCUUUAAUGUUCUGCUUCCCUUUGUUGGAGUUGGAAAUAUCCGAAUAGGAAAAUGCCUGACAGUAUAUCGCGUUAUCGAAUCAUUAGAUGCCUCACUUACUUUUAUAUUUGUGCAUUACCUAGGUUUGGAUAUAUCCCAUAAAAUUAGCUUUCCAGCUGCUAUAGCUGCAACUUUUAAUGGGUUGGGUCCCCAGUCAAUAGACAUUAAGGGAACAAUAUCUGUAUCUAAAGACAUAAUUGCUUGCUGACUGCGUACAUCAUACAUAUGAAUCAAUCCACUUUUUUCACCAACAAGGAGCUUGCCAGAUUUUUCAAGAUGAAAACUCACACUCAUUCCUGGAGAUGUUAAGUAAAAUGUAGAUAUACAUUUUUCAUCUUCUUUUACAGCCCAAAGUUUACAAGUGUGAUCAUCAGACACAGAAGCCAAUAAUUCACCUUCGGUUUCAUAACAAAUUGAAUUUAUAUAAUCCUUGUGUCCUUCCAUCUUGUAUUAAAAGAAAUGUCAAUAAAUUGAUUCAUAAAGAAUAA